ACAUAUGCUGCUUACGGCCGACUUCAUUCCUCUCGUGUGCUCCCGUCGUCGUGAAAUCGUAGGCUAGGGUUUUCCUGAACAAGAGUGACGUAAUCGGUCUUUCUCCGCCAUGAGAGCCAAGUGGAAGAAGAAGCGUAUGAGGAGGCUGAAGAGGAAAAGAAGAAAGAUGAGACAGAGAUCCAAGUAGAACCUUGAAACCGCUUCUUCGCUUUCCUCCUGUUUCCCCGUCGGUUCUUGUCUGAUCUUAUCUUGUUCUUAGAUUCUCUGGAAAUCCCAAGUUUCAGUUAUCCGAACUCAUGUGUUUCCAAUAUUCCGGGAUACAUUUUUGUUGGAUGAUCUCAAAUCAAUACUCUAUGUUCGGAUUCGUUUCGCCUUUUCAAACGAAUCUUCGUUUACAUGUGCUUUGAAUGUCGCAACUCUUCCCUCUCAGAAUGAUACUCAUGGUCCAAUCGAUCCUGAUAUCACUUGAA